rnacentral:rRNA from 1 species
GAUGAACGCUUGCGGCGUGCCUAAUACAUGCAAGUCGAGCGAACAGAUGAGGAGCUUGCUCCUCUGACGUUAGCGGCGGACGGGUGAGUAACACGUGGAUAACCUACCUAUAAGACUGGGAUAACUUCGGGAAACCGGAGCUAAUACCGGAUAAUAUAUUGAACCGCAUGGUUCAAUAGUGAAAGACGGUUUUGCUGUCACUUAUAUUUUGAUCCUCGUCGCAUUAGCUAGUUGGUAAGGUAACGGCUUAACAAGGCAACGAUGCGUAGGCGACCUGAGAGGGUGAGCAGGCACACUAAAAAUUAGACAAGGUACAGACUACAACGGGAGGCAGCAGGAGGGAAUCUUGCGCAAUGGGCGAAAGAGUGACGGAGAAAAUCCGAGUGAGUGAUGAAGGAAUUAGGAUCGUAAAACAAUGCUAUUGGGGAAGAACAAAUGAGUAAGUAACUAUGCAGGUCGUGACGGUACCUAAUAAGAAAGCUAAGGCUAACUACGUG